GUGCUCACUUCAGCAGCACAUAUACUAAAAUCGGAAUGAUAUAGAGAAGGUUAGCAUUGCCCCUGAGCAAGGAUAACACACACAUUUGUGAAGUGUUCCAUAUUACA
rnacentral:snRNA from 1 species